ensembl:snRNA U6 U6 spliceosomal RNA
UAGCAUAUGGCAGCACAUGUACUAAAACUGGAAUAAUAUGGAGAACAUUAGCAUGGCCCCCAUGCCAGGAUGACACACAAAUUCAUGAAGAGUUCCAUUUUUUU